CUAAAUUAGCUUUUUAAAGGGGCUAUUAGGGUUUUUUAUUACAGAACAAUAUGGGCUUUAUUUGUGGCCCAAAUAAAUACUUCUCCGGCCUUUAAAACUAUUAAUAUUUUCAAGAAUUGUGUUUAUGCAUCGCCUUUUUUGCUAUUUCAAAAACGUUUUCAACUUGGUAAUAACAUCAAUUCUGGUCUUGUUUUGAGUUUUGAUCAUCUUGAAAAGUCAUUUGAGCUUGAUUUGCAACAGCCUGUUUUCUAUUCUAGUAAAUCAUAUGAUUCAUUUGUCUUCAAAGAAAAUGGUUUCAGUCUAAGCUCUUAAAGACAUGAACUGAUCACUGGUGAUUUGUUUGCAUCCACAUGUACCUUGGACGAAUUCAUGCUUAGGAAGUUGUUGGAACAAAAAUAACAUAAAACUGAAACCAAUUUUAUUUGUGAUUUUGUUUUGAAGCUUGAUAUCUUGCAUUUUGAAUCAGAUAAACUUUAGCAUAUUUUGAGAUCAUUGCUUGAGAAUUGUGUUGUUUUUGAGCUUCGAUGUUAUUCUGGUUUGCAAUACAUUCUUUGAAAAACAUAGUGAACCUUUGAUAAGUGAUUCUCAAUCCGAACUUACUCUUUUGUGUUCUGAUUUUGAGAAGGAUAGGCACGUUUUAAAAAUGUUCAAUAUUAUUUUGUGCCUUGAUACCAUUCUGGUAUGUAAUAUUUACUUUUAUGUGGAUUUUGAAAGGCUGAAACGUGUGCUACAUAUUCUAGGGAAAGAAACUUUGAUUUCAUAUUUGAGCAAGUAUAUGUCUUGCACAUAUGAUGAUCCUGGUAUUCUAGUUUCUGUUUUGAGUGUCCAAGAUAAACAUGUUCAGUCUCAAAGAAAUGAAAGGAACAAAAGCAUAGACCAUGCUUAUCAGCCUGAGGUUUGAGAUGCAUGCAGGGCCGGCUUAAACUUCUAAUGGGCCCCUGGGCAAUUUUUU